UACGUAGGGCGCAAGCGUUGUCCGGAAUUAUUGGGCGUAAAGAGCUCGUAGGCGGUCUGUCGCGUCCGUUGUGAAAACUCGAGGCUCAACCUCGGGCUUGCAGUGGAUACGGGCAGACUAGAGUGCGGUAGGGGAGACUGGAAUUCCUGGUGUAGCGGUGGAGUGCGCAGAUAUCAGGAGGAACACCGAUGGCGAAGGCAGGUCUCUGGGCCGCAACUGACGCUGAGGAGCGAAAGCUGGGGAGCGAACAGG
rnacentral:rRNA from 1 species